AUCCUGGCUCAGGGAUGAAACGCUAGCUACAGGCUUAACACAUGCAAGUCGAGGGGCAGCAGGAAUCUAGCUUGCUAGAUUUGCUGGCGACCGGCGCACGGGUGAGUAACGCGUAUCCAACCUGGCCCUUAGUAGGGAAUAGCCCGGCGAAAGUCGGAUUAAUGCCCUAUGUUCUCCGCAGAAGGCAUCUGAAAUGGAGUAAAGAUUUAUCGCUAAGGGAUGGGGAUGCGUCUGAUUAGGUAGUAGGCGGGGUAACGGCCCACCUAGCCUAUGAUCAGUAGGGUUCUGAGAGGAAGGUCCCCACAUUGGUACUGAGACACGGACCAAACUCCUACGGGAGGCAGCAGUGAGGAAUAUUGGUCAAUGGGCGCGGGCCUGAACCAGCCAAGUAGCGUGCAGGAUGACUGCCCUAUGGGUUGUAAACUGCUUUUAUCAGGGGAUAAAGUGCGGGACGUGUCCCGUUUUGUAGGUACCUGAUGAAUAAGGACCGGCUAAUUCCGUGCC
rnacentral:rRNA from 1 species